rnacentral:rRNA from 1 species
UACGGAGGGUGCGAGCGUUGUCCGGAAUCACUGGGCGUAAAGGGCGCGUAGGCGGCGCGGGUAGUCGUCGGUGAAAGCUCAGGGCUCAACCCUGAGUCGGCCGGUGAUACUCCCGUGCUCGAGCACUGUAGAGGCAGGUGGAAUUCCGGGUGUAGGCGGUGGAAUGCGUAGAGAUCCGGAAGAACACCGGUGGCGAAGGCGGCCUGA